rnacentral:tRNA from 1 species
GGGCGUGUGGCUCAGUUGGUAGAGCGUUCGCUUAGCAUACUCUUCUGUAUGCGAAAGGUCCUGGGUUCGAUUCCCAGCUCGUCCA